AAAAGGUAUAAGCAUGCAGAAAAAAAACCAGGAAGAAAACACCCAAACCACUCCCCCAAAACCCACCUUACACUCUAUUCUAUGAAGUUACAGACUGAACAGAACUGGAACAUCCUACUUGAGAAUUAAGCGACCCUCCUGUCCAGAGCUACUUUGCAACAGGACUGCAAAUGCGCCUUACCAUGAAAAGCCUCCCGAGAGCCCUGUGACUCCUACACAUGCCCUAAUUCACAUGAAUCACUUCCGGCACUGGGCAAACAGGCAGGUUCUGCAACAUGAACUGCUAGUAAACUGAAAAUAAGUGGUGACUGGACUAUUUCCAACACAUCUGUCCUUAUAGCUAACUAUCCUCCAGAGCAGUCCCAAUGACUUCCAACCUUUUGGUAAAAGAGGACAAAUCAUUUCCACCAUAAUAAUUAAAAAAAAAAAAAAAAUUCUUCUACCCCAACAACCAAGAGAAUACCUUCUCUGUGGACAAACGGUUCUGGUUUCCUCGAAAACAGUAUUUACUGAAUAUGAACCCCAGAAUCUUUUUUCCAGUUGUAAUAAUCUUCCUUGCAUUAAAACUAGGAUGAGGAAUGCUGAAAUCCUCAAUUACCAGAAAACAGAGGCAGUGCACUAGUAACUUACAAAUUUUUACUUAUGAGCUAUCAAGGGGAGAUAUUUUAUCUGCCAUUUCAUACUUUUGCUGUAAAAGUUUCUGAUAACUACUUCUGGAGAUUUAACACAUUUUGUUUCCAAGUUUGCUGGGUAAUUUCCUCCUAAAUGGCAAUCUUUGCUGAGGCUACAUACAGAUUUCAAGUAAGGAGUUUUAAUUUCCUCUGCUGCUAAUUCACUCUUCACUUCAAGCCACUUACAAAUCUCUUACUGCAUCCUCACUACUUAAAGGUAGCACAGAAAAUACCAGAUGUUAAAAAAAAAAAUCUGCAUUACUCCUCAGCUGUUUUGUCAUUGAUCCUCUCCUCAGUGUUUUGGCUUGGUUCCUCUGUUGAAGAGCACUUGAACAGCUUUACCUAAAAUCUGUUAUUAAUAAAAUAAAGAUUAAAAAAAU